GUUUCUAUGAUUCUAUGAUUCUGUUACAAUCUGGAAAGAGGCAGAGAAAUCCACUUUUAUCACUUAAUAUUCCACAUUUUCAGCUGAAGACUAAGCUAUGAGUAAUGUUAUCUUUAGCAGCUACCUUCCUGGCCUAGGAAGAAGAUGGAAAUGCAGUGUUGUGAAUCAUAUUUGUUUGGAGAAGCCAAUCUUUGAGGCCAGGAAACAAUUUAAAGCAUCUGAAGCUGUAAUACUGUAAUGACUUUAUUGACUGUAUUGAUUAUUAUCUGAAGCAAGGUGAGAACCUUAGAUCAAGGUCUCUGCUUAGUGUUGGUCUGGCUAUUCUCCUACAGCCAAAUCUGAAUUUCAGUCUGAGUGCCUUAGAGGAAUUUUGGUUCAAGAAGGGUAAACAAAAACCACUAAAAACACCCAAUUUUUUUUGCUACUACUCAGUACUAAUUCACUACAUUUAAAAAUGUUGAUGAGCCUCAGGAUUAAGACAGAUAACAUGACAGAUAGAAGGGAUAUUUAUGGUAUCUAGAUUAACCAUUGCAUGCUCUCUGGAAAGACAGUGGUGAAGAAAGUCUUUCCCCAGUUUCUGAUUUUUAGAUCAUUGGAAAUUUAGCUAAGGACAGCUGUCUGUGGGAGAACAUUCCAGAGAGAAGAGCAGAAAAAGCAGUAAAAGGGACACAGUAAACUGAUCUUUCAGCAUACGAGUAUGCUUUCUUGCAUCUAGGGAUACCCAAGUCACAGCAGUGAUGAAAAGAAGAAAAUGAUCCAAAGCACCGAAAGACAACUGAGUGACUUUUCUAUUCGCAAACUGAUAGACUGAGAAGAAGGAAGGAAUAAAAGAUCUGUCUUGUGAAAUUGAAGAGAGGUAAGAUUGCUUUUAUUUAAUUUGACUCAUAAUGACACCUUCAGCUUUCUCUGUUUUAAAGAAUUGCUCAGUUCCAGUAUCUUAUUUUAUGUUUCAGGCAUAUCUUUGAUCUAAAACCUGGAAGCAAAUAUGAAGAUUGCCUUGCUGAACAACUUCAUAAAAUAACCAUUUUGUCCAUGUUUCUCCAAUCUCUAUGAGCCACUUAGAGGCAAUGGGUUGAUGACUAUCUUUUAUUUUGUGGUUAGUCUUGAUCAUCCAGGACAUAAUUAGUGAUAAAACUUGCUCUAAAUUGUAAAUCUUCCAGGUCUAGCUGAUUAAAUCUAUACAUAAUGACUUCAAUUUCUUUCAUAAGCCUCCUUAAUAUGUCUUCCUUAACUUGAAGUCUGAAAGCUGUUAAUCAUAUCUAUAUUAUGUGUAGAUGAUUUAGCCUCCAUUUAACCAUCUUUUUGUAAAUACCUGGCACAUGUUUCACAAUGAAAUAGCUUACAGGGACAGAUAACAUCAGCUACAGUCAAUAAAAUUAGCCCAUUUUCUGGAAACCAAUAACAUUUGUCUAAAGAAUUCAGAUUAAAUUAGCUAUACAUAAGUUUAAUACAUCUUGCUAGAGAGAAAAUAAGGGUAAAGCAGG
rnacentral:lncRNA from 7 species